rnacentral:rRNA from 1 species
GACGAACGCUGGCGGCGUGCUUAACACAUGCAAGUCGAGCGGAAAGGCCACUUCGGUGGUACUCGAGCGGCGAACGGGUGAGUAACACGUGAGUAAUCUGCCCUUGGCUUUGGGAUAGCCACCGGAAACGGUGAUUAAUACCGGAUAUGACCACUCUAGGCAUCUAGUGGUGGUGGAAAGUUUUUCGGCCAGGGAUGUGCUCGCGGCCUAUCAGCUUGAUGGUGAGGUAAUGGCUCACCAUGGCUUCGACGGGUAGCCGGCCUGAGAGGGUGAACGGUCACACUGGGACUGAGACACGGCCCAGACUCCUACGGGAGGCAGCAGUGGGGAAUAUUGGACAAUGGGCGGAAGCCUGAUCCAGCAACGCCGCGUGAGGGAUGACGGCCUUCGGGUUGUAAACCUCUUUCAGCAGGGACGAAGCGCAAGUGACGGUACCUGCAGAAGAAGCACCGGCCAACUACGUGCCAGCCGCCGCGGUAACAC